rnacentral:rRNA from 1 species
UACAGAGGGGGCAAGCGUUAUUCGGAAUUAUUGGGCGUAAAGGGCGCGUAGGCGGCAUUGUAAGUCAGGGGUGAAAUCCCUCGGCUCAACCGAGGAAUUGCCUCUGAAACUGCACUGCUUGAGACCGGGAGAGGGUAGUGGAAUUCCCAGUGUAGCGGUGAAAUGCGUAGAUAUUGGGAGGAACACCGGUGGCGAAGGCGGCUACCUGGACCGGUUCUGACGCUGAGGCGCGAAAGUGUGGGGAGCAAACAGG